rnacentral:rRNA from 1 species
UACGUAGGGUGCAAGCGUUGUCCGGAAUUAUUGGGCGUAAAGGGCGCGCAGGCGGCUACGCACGUCCGUUGUGAAAUCGCUCGGCUCAACUGGGCGGGGUCGGCGGAUACGGCGUAGCUGGAGCAAGCUAGGGGGCAAUGGAAUUCCCGGUGUAGUGGUGGAAUGCGUAGAUAUCGGGAGGAACACCAGUGGCGAAGGCGGUUGCCUGGAGCUUUGCUGACGCUGAGGCGCGAAAGCGUGGGGAGCGAUCCGG